UACGUAGGGUGCGAGCGUUGUCCGGAAUUAUUGGGCGUAAAGAGCUUGUAGGUGGUUUGUCGCGUCUGCUGUGAAAAUCCGAGGCUCAACCUCGGACUUGCAGUGGGUACGGGCAGACUAGAGUGUGGUAGGGGAGACUGGAAUUCCUGGUGUAGCGGUGGAAUGCGCAGAUAUCAGGAGGAACACCGGUGGCGAAGGCGGAUCUCUGGGCCUUACCUGACGCUGAGGCGCGAAAGCUAGGGGAGCGAACAGG
rnacentral:rRNA from 1 species